rnacentral:siRNA from 1 species
CCAUGUUUAUAUCAAGAUGGU